rnacentral:rRNA from 1 species
CGCCUGUUUAUUAAAAACAUUGCUUUUAAUUAUUAUUUAAAAGUAAAGCCUGCCCAUUGAAUAAUUUUAAAAGGCUGCAGUAUUUUGACUGUGCUAAGGUAGCAUAAUCAUUAGAUUUUUAAUUGAAAUCUUGUUUGAAUGGUUAAAUGAAAUAAAUUCUUUUUUAAUUUAAAUAUUGAAUUUUAUUUUUUAGUUAAAAAGCUAAAAUAUAAUAAAGGGACGAGAAGACCCUAUAGAAUUUUAUAUUAUAUUAAUUUAAAAUUUUAUUUAAUAUUAAGUAUAAUAUUUUAUUGGGGUGAUAAUUAAAUUUAAUUAACUUUAGAAUAUAAAAUUCAUAAAUUAAUGUUUUUAUGAUCUUUUUUUAUUGAUUAAAAAAUUAAAUUACCUUAGGGAUAACAGCAUUAUAUUGUUAAGAAGUUCUUAUUUUUAAUAAUGUUUAUGACCUCGAUGUUGGAUUAAAUAAAAUUAUUAUAUGAAGAUGUAUAAAAAAUAAGUC